UGAGGAAUAUUGGUCAAUGGACGCAAGUCUGAACCAGCCAUGCCGCGUGAAGGAUGAAGGCCUUCUGGGUUGUAAACUUCUUUUAUGGGGGAAGAAAAUUACGGUUUCUACUGUAACCGACGGUACCCUAGGAAUAAGCACCGGCUAACUCCGUGCCAGCAGCCGCGGUAAUACGGAGGGUGCAAGCGUUAUCCGGAUUUACUGGGUUUAAAGGGUGUGUAGGCGGGCAGUUAAGUCAGUGGUGAAAUCUCCGGGCUCAACCCGGAAACUGCCAUUGAUACUAAUUGUCUUGAAUUCUGUUGAGGAGGGCGGAAUAUGUCAUGUAGCGGUGAAAUGCAUAGAUAUGACAUAGAACACCGAUAGCGAAGGCAGCUCUCUAAGCAGACAUUGACGCUGAGGCACGAAAGCGUGGGGAUCAAACAGG
rnacentral:rRNA from 1 species